rnacentral:lncRNA from 1 species
UCUGUUUGAUUCCUAUUUUUUGAAAAUAUAUUUUUUUAUUCUUCUUUUCAACCGUAUCAUUCUUCACUAAAAUAAUAUUAUAUAAAAACCAAAAAAUUUUACUAAUUUUUUAACCACACAUUCUCCUAUUUGAAAAUACUUUAUUAUUAUUAUUAUUAUUUUUUUGGGGGUAAAAAAUGGGCACCAAACUGGCUCCAUGUAAUAUCCCAUCAAAUCACUGUUUUAAAAAAUAUCGGACAUUCUAAAACAUACAUACAAAACAAACAAAAUUGUGUAUCAUAGCACAUAACAUGCACGCUUACGCAUGCAUAAAAAAUGUCGAUAAGAACU